rnacentral:rRNA from 1 species
UACGGGGGGAGCAAGCGUUGUUCGGAUUUACUGGGCGUAAAGGGCGCGUAGGCGGCCUCCGCAAGUCAGUUGUGAAAUCUCCGAGCUUAACUCGGAAAGGUCAACUGAUACUGCGGGGCUAGAGUGCGGAAGGGGCAACUGGAAUUCUUGGUGUAGCGGUGAAAUGCGUAGAUAUCAAGAGGAACACCUGCGGCGAAGGCGGGUUGCUGGGCAGACACUGACGCUGAGGCGCGAAAGCUAGGGGAGCGAACGGG